rnacentral:lncRNA from 1 species
UGACAGGUUCCUGGGCCGCGCCGCCUCGCCCUGCCUGGGCGGGGUUGGGACCUUUCUGGCACCUGCGUCGAAGCCGGCGGCAGGAUGGACUUUGUUGUCCCGGUCCCAGACCACCCUCCUCCACCGUCGCCUCCCACUGCAAAAAGGCCUGGAUAAGGAACCUAAUUCGAGCUACCCUUCUCUGUGAAGCUCGACGGCUGAGAACGUCAGGGCUCGUUCCCAAGUCUCUUUCCAGAGGCCAGGCUUUAUGGGAGCAUGGGUUACCAGCGACGCACCCUCUCACAGCUUAGAAAACUCAGCAGGACUGGCCUCUGUCCUAUCCCACACCCCACCUCAGUCCCUCAAGCUCAUCUCCUGUCAUUCCUGCCCAUUUCUGGACCCCAGCCACUCCUCAAACAGGGUGAGGAUGCAGUGUCCAAGGCACCAUCUUGAACUCAUCAUCGCCAAAUAUGUGAGCACCUUGAUGUUGGACUUCCCAACCUCCAGACCGUAAGGCAGUACAUUUCUUUGUAAAUUACGCAGUCUCAGCUAUUCUGUUACAGCAGCACAAAUGGACUAAGACAACCCCCGAGAUAGGAAGGGGUAAGGUAAAUGCAAUGAGAGUUGGGGUUUUCGAUCUUAGUCCAGUAAAGGAGCUGGAACUGUUCUGUAUAAACAAAGGGCAAGGUAAUUGCUACAUAGAUUCUUUUCUUAUUAUUGCUGAUUCUUAUCCUAAAAUAAAGGACAUUGCCACUACACAUCCUCUAGAAUGACCAAAAAUAAAAAUACAGCAUCAAAUGGGACGACAUGGUGCCAACUGGAAUUCUCAUACCCUGCUGAUGGGAGUAUAAUGUGGUACAGUCACUUUGGAAAAAAGUUUGACAAUUUCUUAUAAAAUUAUACAUAAACCUGUACUAUGACCUAGAGAUUCUACUCCUGUUUGUUCAAAAGAAAGGCAAACAUCUGUCCACUAAAAGAUAUGUACAAGAAUGCUCACAGUGGCAUUAUUUAUGACGGUCCAAACCAGGAGAUAAUCCAAAUGUCUGUAACCAAGAGAAUGGAUAAAGAAAUUUUGAUACGUCAAUUUAAUGGAUUACUACUUAGCAAUAAAAAUAAUUAGCCAUGCUGGGCGCGGUGGCUUAUGCCUGUAAUCCCAGCACUUUGGGAGGCUGAGGCAGGUGGAUCACCUGAGGUUGGGAGUUCAAGACCAGCCUGACCAACAUGGAGAACCCCCGUCUCUACUAAAAUACAAAAUUAGCCGGGGUGGUGGCGCAUGCCUGUAAUCCCAGCUACUCGGGAGGCUGAGGCAGGAGAAUCACUUGAACCCGGGAGGUGGAGGUUGCAUUGAGCCGAGAUUGCGCCAUUGCACUCCAGCAUGGGCAAAAAGAGCAAAACUCCGUCUCAAAAAAAUAAAUAAAUAAUAAUUAGCCACAUAUCCACACAACAAUAUUGCAUUAUCACAGGUAUAGUGAUAAAUACUGUAUGAUUCCAUUUAUAUGAAGUUCAAGAACAGGCAAGUAAUCCAUGAUGAAAGAAGUACUUACCUCUGGGGGUGGCAGCAUUGACUAAAGAGGUACAAGGGAGUCUUCUGGGGCCUGGAAAUGUUCUAUAUCUUGAUCUGGGUGGUGGUUACACAGGUAUACGCGUGUUAAGAAAUCAUCAGGCUGUAUACUUAGUGUACUGUAAUGGCAUUACACUGUCUUUCAAUUAAAAUGUGAAA